rnacentral:ncRNA from 1 species
UAACCGAAAGGGAGCCGAAGCGAAAGCGAGCCUUAACAGGGCGACUUGAGUCCCGCGCCGCGGACGCGAAGCCGGGUGAGCUAUCCGUGGGCAGGCUGAAGCGGGGGUAAGACCCCGUGGAGGGCCGAACGCACGUCGGUUGAAAACGGCGGCGAUGACCUGCGGAUAGGGGUGAAAGGCCAAUCAAACCCGGAGAUAUCUCGUUCUCCCCGAAAUAGCUUUAGGGCUAGCGUCGCGCGUUCACCGCCGGAGGUAGAGCACCGGAUGGACGAGGGGGCUUCGCCGCCUACCGAAUCCAACCGAACUCCGAAUGCCGGCGGCCCAGAGCGCGGCAGUCAGAGCAUGUGGGCUAAGCUGUGUGCUCGAGAGGGAAACAGCCCGGACCGCCCGCUAAGGUCCCCAAGUUCCAGCCGAGUGGCAAAGGAUGUGCGUCCGCCCAGACAACCAGGAUGUUGGCUUAGAAGCAGCCAUCCAUUCAAAGAGUGCGUAACAGCUCACUGGUCGAGUGGACAUGCGCCGACAAUACACGGGGCUAAGCUGGACACCGAAGCGGCGGGAUUUU